rnacentral:rRNA from 1 species
GAUGAACGCUGGCGGCGUGCCUAAUACAUGCAAGUCGAGCGAACAGACGAGGAGCUUGCUCCUCUGACGUUAGCGGCGGACGGGUGAGUAACACGUGGAUAACCUACCUAUAAGACUGGGAUAACUUCGGGAAACCGGAGCUAAUACCGGAUAAUAUAUUGAACCGCAUGGUUCAAUAGUGAAAGACGGUUUUGCUGUCACUUAUAGGUGGAUCCGCGCCGCAUUAGCUAGUUGGUAAGGUAACGGCUUACCAAGGCAACGAUGCGUAGCCGACCUGAGAGGGUGAUCGGCCACACUGGAACUGAGACACGGUCCAGACUCCUACGGGAGGCAGCAGUAGGGAAUCUUCCGCAAUGGGCGAAAGCCUGACGGAGCAACGCCGCGUGAGUGAUGAAGGUCUUCGGAUCGUAAAACUCUGUUAUUAGGGAAGAACAAAUGUGUAAGUAACUAUGCACGUCUUGACGGUACCUAAUCAGAAGGCCACGGCUAACUACGUG